rnacentral:rRNA from 1 species
CAGGCUUAACACAUGCAAGUCGAGGGGCAGCAUGGUCUUAUCUUGCUAAGGCCGAUGGCGACCGGCGCACGGGUGAGUAACACGUAUCCAACCUGCCGUCUACUCUUGGACAGCCUUCUGAAAGGAAGAUUAAUACAAGAUGGCAUCAUGAGUCCGCAUGUUCACAUGAUUAAAGGUAUUCCGGUAGACGAUGGGGAUGCGUUCCAUUAGAUAGUAGGCGGGGUAACGGCCCACCUAGUCUUCGAUGGAUAGGGGUUCUGAGAGGAAGGUCCCCCACAUUGGAACUGAGACACGGUCCAAACUCCUACGGGAGGCAGCAGUGAGGAAUAUUGGUCAAUGGGCGAGAGCCUGAACCAGCCAAGUAGCGUGAAGGAUGACUGCCCUAUGGGUUGUAAACUUCUUUUAUAAAGGAAUAAAGUCGGGUAUGGAUACCCGUUUGCAUGUACUUUAUGAAUAAGGAUCGGCUAACUCCGUGCCAGCAGCCGCGGUAAUACGGAGGAUCCGAGCGUUAUCCGGAUUUAUUGGGUUUAAAGGGAGCGUAGAUGGAUGUUUAAGUCAGUUGUGAAAGUUUGCGGCUCAACCGUAAAAUUGCAGUUGAUACUGGAUAUCUUGAGUGCAGUUGAGGCAGGCGGAAUUCGUGGUGUAGCGGUGAAAUGCUUAGAUAUCACGAAGAACUCCGAUUGCGAAGGCAGCCUGCUAAGCUGCAACUGACAUUGAGGCUCGAAAGUGUGGGUAUCAAACAGGAUUAGAUACCCUGGUAGUCCACACGGUAAACGAUGAAUACUCGCUGUUUGCGAUAUACUGCAAGCGGCCAAGCGAAAGCGUUAAGUAUUCCACCUGGGGAGUACGCCGGCAACGGUGAAACUCAAAGGAAUUGACGGGGGCCCGCACAAGCGGAGGAACAUGUGGUUUAAUUCGAUGAUACGCGAGGAACCUUACCCGGGCUUAAAUUGCAGAUGAAUUACGGUGAAAGCCGUAAGCCGCAAGGCAUCUGUGAAGGUGCUGCAUGGUUGUCGUCAGCUCGUGCCGUGAGGUGUCGGCUUAAGUGCCAUAACGAGCGCAACCCUUGUUGUCAGUUACUAACAGGUUCCGCUGAGGACUCUGACAAGACUGCCAUCGUAAGAUGUGAGGAAGGUGGGGAUGACGUCAAAUCAGCACGGCCCUUACGUCCGGGGCUACACACGUGUUACAAUGGGGGGUACAGAGGGCCGCUACCACGCGAGUGGAUGCCAAUCCCCAAAACCUCUCUCAGUUCGGACUGGAGUCUGCAACCCGACUCCACGAAGCUGGAUUCGCUAGUAAUCGCGCAUCAGCCACGGCGCGGUGAAUACGUUCCCGGGCCUUGUACACACCGCCCGUCAAGCCAUGGGAGCCGGGGGUACCUGAAGUGCGUAACCGCGAGGAGCGCCCUAGGGUAAAACUGGUGACUGGGG